AAAAUUUCAAUUCAUUAUCAGUUCGAUCUGUUCGAUUAAAGUGACAAUUUACACUGAAUUGAAACAAUGAAGUUCUUUGCUGUCGUCGUACUUACAUUCUUCGCUGCUGCUAGCGCUACUCCAUGCGGUGGAAAAGGUGGCGGAAGUAGUGGUGGACUUCUUGGAGGACUCCUCGGAGGCGGAGGAAGUGGCGGUGGACUUCUUGGAGGACUUCUAGGAGGCGUUCUCGAAGGUGU